rnacentral:rRNA from 1 species
GACGAACGCUGGCGGCGUGCUUAACACGUGCAAGUCGAACGGAAAGGCCCUGCUUUUGUGGGGUGCUCGAGUGGCGAACGGGUGAGUAACACGUGAGUACCCUGCCCUCGACUUUGGGAUAACUUCAGGAAACUGGGGCUAAUACCGGAUAGGAGCUCCUGAUGCAAGGUGGGGGUUGGAAAGUUUCGGCGGUUGGGGAUGGACUCGCGGCUUAUCAGCUUGUUGGUGGGGUAGUGGCUUACCAAGGCUUUGACGGGUAGCCGGCCUGAGAGGUUGACCGGCCACAUUGGGACUGAGAGACGGCCCAGACUCCUACGGGAGGCAGCAGUGGGGAAUAUUGCACAAUGGGCGGAAGCCUGAUGCAGCAACGCCGCGUGCGGGAUGACGGCCUUCGGGUUGUAACCCGCUUUCGCCUGUGACGAAGCGUGAGUGACGGUAAUGGGUAAAGAAGCACCGGCUAACUACGUGCCAGCAGCCGCCGUAA